rnacentral:rRNA from 1 species
GAACGGGCACACUGGAACUGAGACACGGUCCAGACUCCUACGGGAGGCAGCAGUAGGGAAUAUUGCUCAAUGGGGGAAACCCUGAAGCAGCAACGCCGCGUGGAGGAUGAAGGUUUUAGGAUUGUAAACUCCUUUUGUUAGAGAAGAUAAUGACGGUAUCUAACGAAUAAGCACCGGCUAACUCCGUGCCAGCAGCCGCGGUAAUACGGAGGGUGCAAGCGUUACUCGGAAUCACUGGGCGUAAAGAGCGCGUAGGCGGGAUAGUCAGUCAGGUGUGAAAUCCUAUGGCUUAACCAUAGAACUGCAUUUGAAACUACUAUUCUAGAGUGUGGGAGAGGU